rnacentral:rRNA from 1 species
AACGUAGGGCGCGAGCGUUGUCCGGAUUUAUUGGGCGUAAAGAGCUCGUAGGCGGUUUGUCGCGUCGUUCGUGAAAACUCACAGCUUAACUGUGAGCUUGCGGUCGAUACGGGCAUCACUGGAGUUCGGGCAGGGGAGACUGGAAUUCCUGGUGUAGCGGUGAAAUGCGCAGAUAUCAGGAGGAACACCGGUGGCGAAGGCGGAUCUCUGGGCCAU